CUAUCAUGCAGUCGAGCGAAUGGAUUGAGAGCUUGCUCUCAAGAAGUUAGCGGCGGACGGGUGAGUAACACGUGGGUAACCUGCCCAUAAGACUGGGAUAACUCCGGGAAACCGGGGCUAAUACCGGAUAACAUUUUGAACCGCAUGGUUCGAAAUUGAAAGGCGGCUUCGGCUGUCACUUAUGGAUGGACCCGCGUCGCAUUAGCUAGUUGGUGAGGUAACGGCUCACCAAGGCAACGAUGCGUAGCCGACCUGAGAGGGUGAUCGGCCACACUGGGACUGAGACACGGCCCAGACUCCUACGGGAGGCAGCAGUAGGGAAUCUUCCGCAAUGGACGAAAGUCUGACGGAGCAACGCCGCGUGAGUGAUGAAGGCUUUCGGGUCGUAAAACUCUGUUGUUAGGGAAGAACAAGUGCUAGUUGAAUAAGCUGGCACCUUGACGGUACCUAACCAGAAAGCCACGGCUAACUACGUGCCAGCAGCCGCGGUAAUACGUAGGUGGCAAGCGUUAUCCGGAAUUAUUGGGCGUAAAGCGCGCGCAGGUGGUUUCUUAAGUCUGAUGUGAAAGCCCACGGCUCAACCGUGGAGGGUCAUUGGAAACUGGGAGACUUGAGUGCAGAAGAGGAAAAGUGGAAUUCCAUGUGUAGCGGUGAAAUGCGUAGAGAUAUGGAGGAACACCAGUGGCGAAGGCGACUUUCUGGUCUGUAACUGACACUGAGGCGCGAAAGCGUGGGGAGCAAAC
rnacentral:rRNA from 1 species